GACGAACGCUGGCGACGCGCUUAACACAUGCAAGUCGAACGGAAAGGCCUGCUUUCCCUUGUGGAUUGCGGGUACUCGCGUGGCGAACGGGUGAGUAACACGUGAGUGAUCUGCCCCCAACUUGGGUAUAAGCCUGGGAAACUGGGUCUAAUUCCCGAUAGGACUGCAGGGUGGUGCCUGUGGUGGAAAACGAUUUUCUAGUGGUUGGGGAUGAGCUCGCGGCCUAUCAGCUUGUUGGUGGGGUAAUGGCCUACCAAGGCGGCGACGGGUAGCCGGCCUGAGAGGGUGGACGGCCACAUUGGGACUGAGAUACGGCCCAGACUCCUACGGGAGGCAGCAGUGGGGAAUAUUGCACAAUGGGCGGAAGCCUGAUGCAGCGACGCCGCGUGGGGGAUGGCGGCCUUCGGGUUGUAAACUCCUUUCGACCGCGAGGAAGCCACCUGGUUGGAAGGGUGGUGACGGUAGUGGUAGAAGAAGCACCGGCUAACUACGUG
rnacentral:rRNA from 1 species